CCGUAAAGAUGGGGACAACAGUCCGAAAAGGACUGCUAAUACCGAAUGUUGUGGAACUUUCCGCAUGGGAGCUCCACUAAAGAUGGCCUCUACUUGUAAGCUAUCGCUUUACGAUGGGUCUGCGUCUGAUUAGCUAGUUGGUGGGGCAACGGCCCACCAAGGCGACGAUCAGUAGCCGGUCUGAGAGGAUGAACGGCCACAUUGGAACUGAGACACGGUCCAGACUCCUACGGGAGGCAGCAGUGGGGAAUCUUCCGCAAUGGGCGCAAGCCUGACGGAGCAACGCCGCGUGAGUGAAGAAGGGUUUCGACUCGUAAAGCUCUGUUGUCGGGGACGAACGUGGAGAUGGUGAAUAACCAUUUCCAAUGACGGUACCUGACGAGGAAGCCACGGCUAACUACGUGCCAGCAGCCGCGGUAAUACGUAGGUGGCGAGCGUUGUCCGGAAUUAUUGGGCGUAAAGGGAGCGCAGGCGGGAGAUCAAGUCUAUCUUAAAAGUGCGGGGCUCAACCCCGCGAGGGGAUGGAAACUGGUCUUCUUGAGUGCAGGAGAGGAAAGCGGAAUUCCUAGUGUAGCGGUGAAAUGCGUAGAUAUUAGGAGGAACACCAGUGGCGAAGGCGGCUUUCUGGACUGUAACUGACGCUGAGGCUCGAAAAGCGUGGGGGAGCGAACAGGAUUAGAUACCCUGGUAG
rnacentral:rRNA from 2 species